CGGCACGGGUGAGUAACGCGUAUCCAACCUGCCGUCUACUCUUGGACAGCCUUCUGAAAGGAAGAUUAAUACAAGAUGGCAUCAUGAGUCCGCAUGUUCACAUGAUUAAAGGUAUUCCGGUAGACGAUGGGGAUGCGUUCCAUUAGAUAGUAGGCGGGGUAACGGCCCACCUAGUCUUCGAUGGAUAGGGGUUCUGAGAGGAAGGUCCCCCACAUUGGAACUGGGACACGGUCCAA
rnacentral:rRNA from 1 species